AGUAUAAUCAAGUAUUCUCUUUUAUAGCUCUUGCGAAAGACAUUAGAAAAUUGUUUUCAAAAAUCGCCGACAAUGUUAUCAAAAAGGCGGAAAAGCAGGCAGGGUAAUCACUUAUAAAGUGUGAAGAAUAUUAGAAAUUCCAAAAAAUAUUCUGAUGUAACUUGAUUAAAACUGCAUUUAAAAUUUG